UCGACUUAUACAGGGUCUUUUCCGAGAAGAUGAAAAACAAUUCCUGUCUUGAAAGGUAAAUCCCACUAAACAACACUUGUACGCUUGACAUGAAAAGUAGAGGCAAGCAGAGUCAAAGGCCAAGCCUCAACUAGCAAAGGGGGACAGCCAUGCCAAUCCAAGCAGAGCAACUAGAAGCCCGCUCUACCUUUCUUUCUUUAUCUUAGACUUCGUUAUUCAAGGAGACCCAUGUGCAUUUCCUCUGUUCUGUGCUCUUGAACUCUUGAUUCCCUUGUGCCUUUAGUUGAAGUCGAGGAGUUUUUAGAUGUCGUAAGGGAGCUUGAUCUCGCCGGAAAUCUUCUUUAAAAAAAAGGAAGAAAGAAUCAAAUCCGAAGAAUAGCGUAGUAUAGAUGUGUCCUUGGGAAUCCAAUUUCCU
rnacentral:lncRNA from 1 species